CAGUCGCCGCGGUAAUACGAAGGGGGCUAGCGUUGCUCGGAAUGACUGGGCGUAAAGGGCGCGUAGGCGGCGAUCAAAGUCAGGCGUGAAAUUCCUGGGCUCAACCUGGGGGCUGCGCUUGAUACUUGGUUGCUUGAGUGGGGAAGAGGGUCGUGGAAUUCCCAGUGUAGAGGUGAAAUUCGUAGAUAUUGGGAAGAACACCGGUGGCGAAGGCGACUACCUGGUCUGGCAUUGACGCUCAUGUGCGAAAGCGUGGGGAGCAAACAGGAUUAGAUACCCCCGUAGUCCCUGUCUCUUAUAC
rnacentral:rRNA from 1 species